GCCUGGGUGGCUCAGUCAGUUGAGCAUCUGACUUCGGCUCAGGUCACGAUCUCGCGGAUCAUGGGUUUGAGCCCCACAUCGGGCU
rnacentral:tRNA from 1 species